rnacentral:rRNA from 1 species
GACGAGCGCUGGCGGCGUGCUUAACACAUGCAAGUCGAACGGAAAGGCCCUGCUUUUGUGGGGUGCUCGAGUGGCGAACGGGUGAGUAACACGUGAGUAACCUGCCCUUGACUUUGGGAUAACUUCAGGAAACUGGGGCUAAUACCGGAUAGGAGCUCCUGCUGCAUGGUGUGGGUUGGAAAGUUUCGGCGGUUGGGGAUGGACUCGCGGCUUAUCAGCUUGUUGGUGGGGUAGUGGCUUACCAAGGCUUUGACGGGUAGCCGGCCUGAGAGGGUGACCGGCGACAUUGGGACUGCGAGACGGCGCAGACGCCUACGGGAGGCAGCAGGGGGGAAUAUGGCACAAUGGGCGGAAGCCUGAUGCAGCAACGCCGCGUGCGGGAUGACGGCCUUCGGGUUGUAAACAGCUUUCGCCGGUGACGAAGCGUGAGUGACGGUAAUGGGUAAAGAAGCAACGGCUAACUACGUG